rnacentral:rRNA from 1 species
GAUGAACGCUGGCGGCGUGCCUAAUACAUGCAAGUCGAGCGAACGGACGCGAAGCUUGCUUUUCUGUUGUUAGCGGCGGACGGGUGAGUCACACGUGUAUCACCUACCUAUAAGUCUGGUAUCACUUCGGGACACCGGCGCUUAUCCCGUAUAAUCUUUUGCACCGCAUGGUUCAAAAGUGAAAGACGGUCUUGCUGUCAUUUAUAGCUGGAUCCGCGCUGCAUUAGCUAGUUGGUAAGGUAACGGCUUACCAAGGCAACGAUGCAUAGCCGACCUGAGGGGGGGAUAGGCCACACUGGAACGGAGACACGGUCCAGACGACUAAGGGAGGGAGCAGAAGGGAAUGGUCCGCAAUGGGCGAAAGCAUGACGGAGCAACGCGGCGUGAGUGAUGAAGGUCUUGGGAGCGUAAAACUCUGUUAUUAGGGAAGAACAGAUGUGUAAGGAAAUGUGCACAGCGUGACGGUACCGAGUCAGAAAGCAACGGCUAACUACGUG